GUGCCCCUGCCUAACUCGAAAUAUAUUCAGUUUGCCACCAGAGCUUGUCUGGAGCACAACUCGUUUCGGAAAUAAACAAAUUUCAAAAGGCACCCAAAAUUAAAAGUGAAGCAACGGAAAUUUAUUGGUUAACUUGGGUGAUGAUACACACCCAGACGCACACAUAAAAAGAGUCAUACUGCCAUGCAAGUUAAACAGAUGAAAGCCCUAUAUACACAUACAUACAUUUGAACGGACUGAGUGCAGUUGCAGACACAGAUAUUAGCUGCUGCCCCGUCAAAAUGAACACAAUUGGAAACACCCAGACGCACACAUACAAAGAGUCAUACUGCCAUGCAAGUUAAACAGAUGAAAGCCCUAUAUACACAUACAUACAUUUGAACGGACUGAGUGCAGUUGAAGACACAGAUAUUAGCUGCUGCCCCGUCAAAAUGAACACAAUUGGAAACUAAUGAUGAUCGUUCCGCAUACCCUAGGUUUAGUUGACCGCCGCCUGGCCUUCUUUUUGCUAUAAGGGAAUUCAAAGCGAUGGUACCGGUCCCGCUGGACGAGAGGAUUGCAUCGCUUGAAUUAGAACUGUAAAUGCUGAUGAACCACACAUCCCAUUGAAUAUUAACCUUUCGCUUGUCCUUGUCUUUAAUAAACGCAAUUCAUCGAAUACACAUUAAAAAAGUUUUUUGAUCUGCGAGGUUGUGACCUCACUUUAGGGGGGUCCUGGGGUCUAAGCCAUCGGUAAACACGUCGAAGCAGAUGAAUAAACUUUAAUAAACAACAAGCGCGGACCAAUGCCCAAACUUAUUUAUAAAGAAAUGGCGGGGAACUGCCGCAGUUCGCAUUAGUGGACAAUCGGGUGAAGGACAUGCCACGAGUGUCGCAACUUGGCGAUCCGAAUCCAUUUAAGUGGAUUUCCUUAAUAAUAAUACCAUUUAUUAAAGACAACUUCAUAGCAAAGAAACAACUUUGCCUUAAUAAUGUGAAAGCAAUUGUGGAAUAAUAUAUUUUAUUUAAUACAAAGAAAGUAAAUGACCAUUGACCAAUGAAAUGAACCAUUAUGUGUAAGGAUAUACAUACAUAUGUAUGUAUUUUCAAUUAAGUUGUGUUAUAAUCUUAUGAAAAAUGGUGUAGCAAUGAGGUGCCGAGUUUAGGCAGGGCCAACUACGAUGGCGCUCAGAAUUACUGAUCACAUUGUCCUUGGAACUAAUUUCAUCGAACAAACGGAGCUGUCAAAUCCAUGUGCCCCUGCCUAACUCGAAAUAUAUUCAGUUUGCCACCAGAGCUUGUCUGGAGCACAACUCGUUUCGGAAAUAAACAAAUUUCAAAAGGCACCCAAAAUUAAAAGUGAAGCAACGGAAAUUUAUUGGUUAACUUGGGUGAUGAUACACACCCAGACGCACACAUAAAAAGAGUCAUACUGCCAUGCAAGUUAAACAGAUGAAAGCCCUAUAUACACAUACAUACAUUUGAACGGACUGAGUGCAGUUGCAGACACAGAUAUUAGCUGCUGCCCCGUCAAAAUGAACACAAUUGGAAACUAAUGAAGAUCGUUCCGCAUACCCUAGGUUUAGUUGACCGCCGCCUGGCCUUCUUUUUGCUAUAAGGGAAUUCAAAGCGAUGGUACCGGUCCCGCUGGACGAGAGGAUUGCAUCGCUUGAAUUAGAACUGUAAAUGCUGAUGAACCACACAUCCCAUUGAAUAUUAACCUUUCGCUUGUCCUUGUCUUUAAUAAACGCAAUUCAUCGAAUACACAUUAAAAAA